UGGGCGUCCACGAAGCCACCUUCCUGAAGUGGCCUCCUACACCAAUCCGGUGGCAUCUGGAGUAGUUAUUCGGUGGCCUCCUGGCCUUCAUAUUUGAGGCUUAGAACAAUAUGGUCCGGAAAAAUAGGCGGGUUCCAGAUGAAACACGCUUCCUUCAGGAUGUUACAACAGAGACACCUUCCAGGAGGAGCUGUGAGAAGCCCCCACUGGACGACCAGCUAUGCGAUGGCAGAAACUGUCUUUGUCAUCACGGAAACCUUCUUGCCUAGCACAGUGCAUGGUAGAUAGUAUUUAGUAAGUGCAUGAAUAAAUAA